GAAAUGCGAUAAGUAAUGUGAAUUGCAGAAUUCCGCGAGUCAUCAGAUCUUUGAACGCAAGUGGCGCUGGGUUAACCAAUACCCCAGCAUGUUUGUUGCAGUGUGUUAGGAAUCAUAAAUCAUAAUGCGAUUGAAUUUUAACAAAAAAUUCUCUCGUUAAACAUGAAAGCGCUGAAUUCGUUUCAGUGCCAACCGAAGUAGUCACUUCUUCUUUCUUAGAAAGUGAUUUCGGUUGUGCUAUAACUGAAGAUUUCACUUAAAGCGUUUUUUUAUAAAUUUAAAUUUCUCCAAUCAAUACCUGAAAUCAAGCAAGAUCACCCGCUGAACUUAA
rnacentral:misc_RNA from 1 species